AUGGACAUGAGGGCCCCUGCUCAGCUCCUCGGGCUCCUGCUGCUCUGGUUACCAGGUGCCAGAUGUGACAUCCAGGUGACCCAGUCUCCACCCUCCCUGUCUGCCUCUCUGGGAGACAGAGUCACUAUCACUUGUCGGGCCAGUCAGGGCAUUAGCUAUGCUUUAAACUGGUACCAGCAGAAACCAGGAAAAGCUCUUAAGCUUCUGAUUUAUGGUGCAAAUAGCUUGCAAAAUGGGGUCCCACCAAGGUUCAGUGGCAGUAGGUCUGGGACAGAUUAUUCUCUCACAAUCAGCAGCCUGGAGCCUGAAGACUUUGCAACUUAUCACUGUCUGCAGUAUAAUCAGCUUCCUCCCACAGUGAUACAAGUCAUACCAUAA